rnacentral:rRNA from 1 species
UACGAAGGUGGCAAGCGUUGUUCGGAUUUACUGGGCGUACAGGGAGCGUAGGCGGUUGGAUAAGCCCUCCGUGAAAUCUCCAGGCUUAACCUGGAAAGUGCAGAGGGGACUGUUUAGCUAGAGGAUGGGAGAGGAGCGCGGAAUUCCCGGUGUAGCGGUGAAAUGCGUAGAGAUCGGGAGGAAGGCCGGUGGCGAAGGCGGCGCUCUGGAACAUUUCUGACGCUGAGGCUCGAAAGCGUGGGGAGCAAACAGG